AUAUUGAUAGUUAUUUUCUAGGAUUUAUUUCGCUGCGGUUUCUUCUUGAUCUUAGAAAGAUCGAUCAUAGAAGAAACCCGAUCAACCGACUCU
rnacentral:sRNA from 1 species